GAUGAACGCUGGCGGCGUGCCUAAUACAUGCAAGUCGAGCGAACAGACGAGGAGCUUGCUCCCUGCCCGUUGGGGGAGACGGGGGGUUAAACAUGUGUAAACCUACCUUUAAUAUUGGGUAAAUUUCGGGAAACCGGGCUCAAAUCCGGUAAAAUUUUUUGACCCCCUGGGUCCAUUGGUAAAUUCCGGUUUUCUGGCACUUAUUGGUGGAUUCGCGCCGCAUUAGCUAGUUGGUGAGGUAACGGCUUACCAAGGCAGCGAUGCGUAGCCGACCUGAGAGGGUGAUCGGCCACACUGGAACUGAGACACGGUCCAGACUCCUACGGGAGGCAGCAGUAGGGAAUCUUCCGCAAUGGGCGAAAGCCUGACGGAGCAACGCCGCGUGAGUGAUGAAGGUCUUCGGAUCGUAAAACUCUGUUAUUAGGGAAGAACAAAUGUGUAAGUAACUAUGCACGUCUUGACGGUACCUAAUCAGAAAGCCACGGCUAACUACGUG
rnacentral:rRNA from 1 species